UGAGGAAUAUUGGUCAAUGGGCGCGAGCCUGAACCAGCCAAGUAGCGUGCAGGAAGACGGCCCUAUGGGUUGUAAAACUGCUUUUAUAGGGGAAUAAAGUGAUCUACGUGUAGUUUAUUGUAUGUACCCUAUGAAUAAGGACCGGCUAAUUCCGUGCCAGCAGCCGCGGUAAUACGGAAGGUUCGGGCGUUAUCCGGAUUUAUUGGGUUUAAAGGGAGCGUAGGCCGUAGAUUAAGCGUGUUGUGAAAUGUAGAUGCUCAACAUCUGACUUGCAGCGCGAACUGGUUUACUUGAGUGUGCGCAACUNGGCGGAAUUCGUCGUGUAGCGGUGAAAUGCUUAGAUAUGACGAAGAACUCCGAUUGCGAAAGGC
rnacentral:rRNA from 1 species